rnacentral:rRNA from 1 species
UACAGAGGUCCCGAGCGUUGUUCGGAUUCACUGGGCGUAAAGGGUGCGUAGGUGGCAGGGUAAGUUUGAUGUGAAAUCUCCGGGCUUAACCCGGAAACUGCAUUGAAUACUAUCCUGCUCGAGGGUUGGAAGGGGGACUGGAAUACUUGGUGUAGCAGUGAAAUGCGUAGAUAUCAAGUGGAACACCAGUGGCGAAGGCGAGUCCCUGGACAACUCCUGACACUGAGGCACGAAAGCUAGGGGAGCAAACAGG